CUUGGCUUCACAAAAGGCUCCUCUGUAUUUAGCACUCACAUCAGUGCCCACUGUCAAAUAGGGAGGCUCAUCAAGGGCCUUCAUGAUGACUCUGGGACCAAGGUAUCCUCUAAAACACCAGGUUCAGCUGCACCUUCCUCGGAGGCGAGAUCUGACCCUGGCACGUCCAGAGUCCCCUCUCUCCUUCUCCCCCCCAAAACCAGCAGGCCCGGGGGAGAGAUGGG
rnacentral:misc_RNA from 1 species